AGCUUAGAUUUUGCGUGUGCAUGCAUAUAGUCCUUAUAAAGUCCAGAUAUAUUUUUAUUUAGCUAAACUGACAGAAGUGCAAACAUUACAGAGAACCCCAUGGGUGGGGUUUAAACACAAAUAAUUAAAUACUAUUCUAUCUACAUGUUAGAUGUGAAUGUUGUUUCUGUUUAUAACAUAUAUCCACAUACUGUAGCGAUCCAUGUCUCCCUCAUAAGCAUUCUUCUAUUAUGGGUUAGUGCAUAUGAAAAGUAUUUUUGAAAUAGCCACACACACAAAAAAAAUCAUAAUUGUCAAUUAUGUGAUAUUGUAUUUACAGUUCAUUUUGAUUAAUGAAAUUUACAUUGUUUUCUUUCAUUAUCUUGUAAACUUAUGGAUUAAUUGUAACACAAUGUUAAACUUUAACUUUUCUUUGUAAAGAAAAGUUUUCAAGUCGGGCAUGUUGUAGGAUUUUGGAAUAGAACAAAAUUGUACUAUAUUUUAGAUAAAAAGAUAAUAUAAAGUUCGAUUUGGUGACUUACACACCCAACUCAGAAAUGGAAAAACAACAUGUGCAUAUGGCUCCAUAACGUUGAGCAGUAAAGGAAUAGUUCACCCAAAAUUAAAAUGCUGUCAUCAUUUACUCCCUCUCAUGUUGCUACAACCUGGUAUAAAUGUAUUUGUUCUGAUGAACAUAAGAUAUUUUGAGGAAUGUUUGUAAUUUAAUUGUUAAGCCCCAUUCACUUCCAUAGUAGGACAAAAGAAUACUAUGUAAGUGAAUGUGGCUCCUGAACGGUUAAAUUACGAACAUUUCUCAAAAUUCCCGCGUGUUCAUUAGAGCAAAUAAAUUUAUACAGGUUUAGAAUCUUAGGGUUAGAAAAUACUAGCGUAAUAGUUAAAAAAAAAGUUAAAUAAAAGAUUAAAUAGAAAAAGAUUAAAUUGUCCUAUAUGACAUAGAACAACCAAAAGUUUUAAAUUCACGAUUUAAUAAUAAUUUAAUGCGAUUAAAAAUGUUUAUGUAGUUUUCUAAGAUGUUUAUUUAUGUAAAUGCUGUGUGUGUAUGCUGCGGGUGCUGAACGUUACUGCUUCUUUAAAUCCGUUGGAGUGACGUGAGUUACCAUGGAAACGAGGCUACUAGGAACAACAGAAAGCGACAAAGCUCCGUGUCUCUUGUGGUUUUCUUCACUUUUUCAGAAGUGACAAAAUAACCCCAUAAUAGAAAAUAAGCUCAAGAUUUCUGCAUUUUCGAAUGGAGCUGCAGUGCUGACAGAGAGAUGUUGUAAACUCAGAUUUGUCUAUGCUGAUGGCCAUGCAGCAGAGUUCAAGCAAACCUGUCAGAAAACAUCUCUAAGGGGCUAUGUAUGAACCAUAUGGAUACCCAUACAAGUUACAGAAGCUCCAGUAUGGAUCCAGCCUCACUUGUAAAGACUUCAGAUGACGCCUACACUCUCAGAGACUUCAGAUGAUGGCAACUAGAUGGACAUACAAGACUGCCAAACAUUAUAUAUAUAUUGCACUCACUGCCUCAAAGCAUAACUUUGCAGAUUUUCAACCCACGUUAUAUUUUUACAAUAAAUUGGGGUAUUUGAAUAGACAAUGUUAACACUUUAACUUAAAUUCCCAAUUAGUUCUUGACAAUACUCUGCCAGAUGACAGAUUACAUAUAUUACAGACAUUGUAACAAUACAAAGUGGGUUGGAAAUCUGUAAACUUCCUCUAUAAUCAUAAUUGUCUGUUUAACUGAGCAUGACUUAAUACAAGGCAUGUGUUAUCUUAGAGCUAUAUGAUUGCUGUAUUAACAUCAGUUCGUUACUUAAUGAGAUUUAUGCUUAUCCCUAGUUUCACAGACAAGGCUUAAGCCCAUAGUCCUAGAUGUUUGAGCUGUCUCAAUUGAAAAGAACUUUCAAUGUGAGAUUUUAAAAUAAGCCAGUGCCAGUGAUUUGUCUUAAGAUAGACACCAGUAACAAUUUUUUCUACG